GGUCCUGCCUGCCCUGUGACCCCUGGUUCAACGGCCGCGGUAUUUUGACCGUGCAAAGGUAGCGCAAUCACUUGUCUCUUAAAUGAGGACCUGUAUGAAUGGCACAACGAGGGCUUAACUGUCUCCUUUCCCCGGUCAGUGAAAUUGAUCUUCCCGUGCAGAAGCGGGAAUCCUAACAUAAGACGAGAAGACCCUAUGGAGCUUUAGACUCCAGAACAGAUCAUGUAAGCUACCCCCAUAAAACAGGUAAUAACUAUUGAAUUUCUGUUCCCCUGUCUUUGGUUGGGGCGACCACGGGGAAGAAAAAAACCCCCAUGUGGACCAGGAGCACAUUACUCCUACAACCAUGAGCCACAGCUCUAAUGCACAAAACCUUUGACCAUUAGAUCCGGCAAAGCCGAUCAACGGACCAAGUUACCCUAGGGAUAACAGCGCAAUCCCCUUUAAGAGUCCAUAUCGACAAGGGGGUUUACGACCUCGAUGUUGGAUCAAGACAUCCUAAUGGUGCAGCCGCUAUUAAGGGUUCGUUUGUUCAACGAUUAAAGUCUU
rnacentral:rRNA from 1 species